rnacentral:rRNA from 1 species
UACGUAGGGGGGCAAGCGUUGUCCGGAAUCAUUGGGCGUAAAGAGCGUGUAGGCGGCCAGAAAAGUCCGCUGUGAAAGUCAAAGGCUCAACCUUUGAAUGUCAGUGGAUACUGCCGGGCUAGAGUCCGGAAGAGGCGAGUGGAACUCCUGGUGUAGCGGUGAAAUGCGCAGAUAUCAGGAGGAACACCGAUGGCGAAGGCAGCUCGCUGGGACGGUACUGACGCUGAGGCGCGAAAGCGUGGGGAGCAAACAGG